CCGGUAUUUUUUAGGGGAUUUGUAAAAAAAAAUUUGAAGAAUCAUAGUAAACUUACGAAUCAUAAAUUUAAUUAUUUAUUGAUGAUAGAAACGAGUUUCUGACCUAUUAACUUUCGAUGGUAAUUUAGUGGAUUACCAUGGUUUUCAUGGGUAACGGAGAAUUUGGGUUUGAUUCCGGAGAAAAGGCCUGAGAGACGGCCAUUACUUCCAAGGAAGGCAGCAGGCGCGUAAAUUACCCAAUCCCAAUUCGGGGAGGUAGUGACGAGAAAUACUAGUAUUGGUCCCAACGGGAACAAUGAUUGGAAUGAGAACAAUUUAAAAACAUUAACGACUAACAAUUGGAGGGCAAGUCUGGUGCCAGCAGCCGCGGUAACUCCAGCUCCAAGAGUGUAUAUUAAAGUUGUUACGGUUAAAAAGCUCGUAGUUGGACUUGAGGGAUUUAUAUAAAGGGAUUCUAGUUUAAAACUAGAUAUUCUUAUAUAUUUUUUCCUUUCUUUGUAUUUUUUUAAGAUUAUUUAAUGGGGUUAAACUCAUUUUUUAAUCUGGGGAUAGAUAGUUUACUUUGAAAAAAUUAGAGUGUUUAAAGCAGACAUGACAUGUACAAUUGAAUAUUACAGCAUGGGAUAAUUGAAUAAGACAUUAACCUUAAUUUUGUUGGUUUUGAAGGUUAAUAGUAAUGAUUAAAAGGGAUAGUUGGGGUCACUUGUAUUUGAUCGCUAGGGGUGAAAUCCUAUGAUUGAUCAAAGACAAACUACUGCGAAAGCAUUUGACAAGGAUGUUUUCAUUGAUCAAGAACGAAAGUUAGGGGAUCGAAGAUGAUUAGAUACCGUCGUAGUCUUAACCAUAAACAAUGUCGACUUUGGAUUAGGAAAUAUUACAUGGAUGAUUUUCCUAGCACAAUGUGAGAAAUCAUAAGUAUUCAGACUCCGGGGGGAGUAUGGUCGCAAGAGUGAAACUUAAAGGAAUUGACGGAAGGGCACCACCAGGAGUGGAACCUGCGGCUUAAUUUGACCCAACACGGGGAAACUUACCGGGUCCGGACACUUUGAGGAUUGACAGAUUGAUAGCUCUUUCUUGAUUAAGUGCGUGGUGGUGCAUGGCCGUUUUUAGUUGGUGGAUUGAUUUGUCUGGUUAAUUCCGAAAACGAACGAGACCUUAACCUAUUAAAUAGUAUAAUUAAAAUUGAAUGCAAAUUCUUGAAAAUUGG
rnacentral:rRNA from 1 species